AUGACGCCUCCUCAACUUCCUGUAGCGUCGCCUCCUCGACACCGCAGCGCAGUGUUCCGACAUUACCAGGAAAAAGAAGAGAAGACAGGUUAUUCAUAUGGUCUAGAAAGAAUACUCUGCAAUCCAAUAGACACAAGCAGGCUGACCUUCUUCAGAGACUUGGGCAAGCAGGCCUUGGGAUUUAGCAUCGAUGGACUAGAAGAUGGUGAAGUAAACCAGCUCCUCGACAGACAAAGCCUCGCGCUCCAGUAUGCCUUCGAAUUCUUCCGCGGCAACCUGCUGAACAGCCUCCUCGGCACGGCAGUCCGGCGGCUCCGUCACCACGAUGCAGCCGCGGCGGCAGGAAGAGGAAGCCGGACCUCGCCGGCGGCGCAGGGCGAGCCUGCGGUCCGAGACCGCCGACGACCAUCCACUGGCCUCGGACUCGUCGGCGAGGACGAGAUUCUCGUCGGCGGAUCUCUUCUUCCCGGCGAGCGACAGCUGGUCCACCAACGUGAGCGUCACGCUCAUGCCAUGGAUGUCGACGCACGCCAUAUCCGGCACCGGCGGAUGAAUCGGCGAAAUCGAAAUCAAAAGUGGAUCUUUCGAGCAGCAAAGGGCGCGGGAGGAAGAAAGAGCGAGGGAAAGGGGAUUAGGGCAGGGAUUUGGGAUUUCUCGAUCUGA
rnacentral:rRNA from 1 species